AGCACCAUGGCCGAGCGGUCUAAGGCGGAGUGGUUGUCGGCAGUACGUAAAACUCAUCCCUGCUGUGGAUGAGUUCCCUCUGGGGAAACCCGCGCGAGUUCGAAUCUUGCUGGUGCUA
rnacentral:tRNA from 1 species